ensembl:lncRNA
CUGGGAUGUACUCAGCAUUGUACAACCUAUCUAUUACAGUAUAUAGCAUUGCCAUGGAUUGUUUAUUUUCACAAAUCUAUCGCUCCAGGAACACGCUCAACUGAAUAUGAACAUAUGGCUGUGUGUCACUUGUAAGAUACAAGUAGUCCCAGUUCAGUUUUGAUGGAUCACUAUUAUUGCCUGGCAUAAACCUGCACAGAGAAUUAUAAUACGGGCCAUUUUAACUGACAGCGUUGAACAAAAGAUACUCAUUACAUGUGUGGGCGGUAACGUGCCCAUAUGGAUGUCUUGAGGCAGCACCGAACUGCAUUGUGGGGAAGUUGAAAAUAAUUGAUCAAGAAGAGGUGGGAGGAAGGUGGCGGUGGUUCUGACGUCUGAUCUACUCUUCUUCAAUCUCACUGUGAUCCUGAUGGGAAAUGGCCUCUUGAAGACACCGCGAUCCAUCACGUUCCGUCGGUCUGUCAGAAAACAAGAAACGUUUUCAUUCCUUUCUCCCGCUACCUGAAGCCCCUUGGCAUGUGCAAACGUGUUUUUCCUAUCUUCCUCUUCAUCCGAGCCUCCUCCUCCUCCUCCUCGUCCUCCGAGAGCUGUACAUCCACCGUGUUCAUCAUAUUACAUUGCACACCGGAGCUGAUUAUCCGCUUUAAUAACUAGCAAUUACUGCCGCGGUUCUUCUGGUGCUGCCCACGUGGAGGAGAACAGAGGGACAUGAUUACGCUCAUCAGACACACGCACACCAUCACACACGCCGCAAACACGCCGGCGUCACUAAUGCGCGCCGUGCUCGUGGCGCUCACCAGUCUGCAGGGGAUAUUAACACUUGUCUCCGUAACUGCCAAAUGGCCCCGCCCACAACCACCUGAUUAUGUCCAUCAACACGGAUGGUGACAGAGGGAUGAAGAUUCAUUCACGUUGUUUGUUUUGGCCCCGGACUAAAAUGUUGGCCCUACCCCCGAAUGAAACGAUGCAAAGACGGGGACUCGAGUCACUUGAGUCCCCAAACCCAGCAUCCCACCUAUUUCCUGGCCAGCGAGGAGCCAGUGUUUCCCACAGCAGAGGCGUGUGACUCGUCCUUGUUGUCCCUUUCGGACAACACAACAUCACAGUCUACAGAAUAUGCUAACUAUGAAAAAUAUGCUGGUGAGGUAUCAUCACACACAAAGAUACAAGGCAGCUGGGUGAACUUCUUGGUGGUGGAGAGAUGUACACUGAAGAUGGGAAUGGCUUGGUCUGCAUUACAUAGUUUGAUCAGAAGAGUGUUCAUUGUUGCUAAAUAAUAUAAACUUUUCUUUUGGUAAUGAUUUUCAUUAUUUGCUAUAUAUCAUU